rnacentral:rRNA from 1 species
UACAGAGGUCUCAAGCGUUGUUCGGAUUCAUUGGGCGUAAAGGGUGCGUAGGUGGCGUGGUAAGUCGGGUGUGAAAUUUCGGAGCUUAACUCCGAAACUGCAUUCGAUACUGCCGUGCUUGAGGACUGGAGAGGAGACUGGAAUUCAUGGUGUAGCAGUGAAAUGCGUAGAGAUCAUGAGGAAGACCAGUGGCGAAGGCGGGUCUCUGGACAGUUCCUGACGCUGAGGCACGAAGGUCAGGGGAGCAAACGGG